rnacentral:rRNA from 1 species
UAUGAAUGUCGCAUGACAAACAUAUCAAAGUAUUUAUCGCUGAAAGAUGAGCUCGCGUCUGAUUAGAUAGUUGGUGAGGUAACGGGCCCCACCAAGUCGACGAUCAGUAGCCGGACUGAGAGGUUUGGACGGCCACAUUGGGACUGAGACACGGCCCAGACUCCUACGGGAGGCAGCAGUGGGGAAUAUUGCACAAUGGAGGAAACUCUGAUGCAGCGAUGCCGCGUGAGGGAAGAAGGUUUUAGGAUUGUAAACCUCUGUCUUUGGGGACGAUAAUGACGGUACCCAAGGAGGAAGCUCCGGCUAACUACGUG